rnacentral:rRNA from 1 species
GAUGAACGCUGGCGGCGUGCUUAACACAUGCAAGUCGAACGAAGCACCUUGAUUUGAUUCUUCGGAUGAAGAUCUUGGUGCCUGAGUGGCGGACGGGUGAGUAACGCGUGGGUCACCUGCCUCAUACAGGGGGAUAACAGUUAGAAAUGACUGCUAAUACCGCAUAAGACCACAGCACCGCAUGGUGCAGGGGUAAAAACUCCGGUGGUAUGAGAUGGACCCGCGUCUGAUUAGGUAGUUGGUGGGGUAACGGCCUACCAAGCCGACGAUCAGUAGCCGACAUGAGAGGGUGGCCGGCCACAUUGGGACUGAGACACGGCCCAAACUCCUACGGGAGGCAGCAGUGGGGAAUAUUGCACAAUGGAGGAAACCCUGAUGCAGCGACGCCGCGUGAGCGAUGAAGUAUUUCGGUAUGUAAAGCUCUAUCAGCAGGGAAGAAAAUGACGGUACCUGACGAAGAAGCACCGGCUAAAUACGUG